AGAUGUGUCGGGAUGUGACUGAUAGGUCUAUUAAAAUCAUGCGUGUGGGAGAAGAAUAACACUCAUAUUCACGCAUUUCAUUUUCCCCGACAAAGACUGGGCACUGCCGAGCUCUGUCUCCGGAAAAUUCCAGUCAGUUCGAGAAGCCCUCCUAGCACUCGUGCCCUGGGGACGCAGGAAAGCAAGCUCUGUCCAGCCGGGGUCGAGCUCCGCUGGCUGGGGCCCCGGGUGCUCUUCUGGUCACGCCCUCUCCCCCACCCAGCUUCCGCAGCGGGUGUCCGGGAGCCCAGCGGUGGAAUCCAACCCUAGACUCUGCCCGCUCUUCACAUCAUCUCGUUGGGAGCUGUGGGUGAGGUGGUGUUGAAAAGAAUACGUUAUUACUGCCGCUUUGCCGCCAGACCUGGUUCUCUACACGGGAUGCUGCAAACAUCCGCUGUCAGCGUGUGCAAGGCUGUGAUUCCAGAGGAGAGACCCAAAGCCUCCUGGGCGUGUGUGAAGAGUGUUUAGCGGGAGGCAGGAGGCAGGGCCCCUGAAAGCCAAGCCGAUGAGCGAGAACCCUGUGCUGAGUAAAUGUGGGCUCCUGAAGGUGCAGAGACAGUGGACAGUGGACAAGACAACUAGCAGUCCCACUGAGUGGUGAAGAUGUCUCAGAGAUGCAUACAAAACACAUACAGGGAUGAGCUGGACGCUAGUCAGACCUGUGAGUUAACUUCCUGUAGCUGAGAGAGGAAAGCUAAUGGAUCGGAUCGAGGGACCACAUCACCCCAUUGGCUCUGGAGAUCUAAGUCAAAAUCAAAAGCCAACCUCGGGCCCAGCGAUACAUGGAAUAGAAACAUGCCCCAGGCUUGUUGGAAUACAGAGGAAAGGUGUGUGCCCAUGGAGAUCCUCCUGACUUGUUACUGAGAGCCGAGGCGAGGUGCUGCCGAACACGUCCCCGAGUCGAACUUCGCCAUAAAAAAGUAAACUUUGAACGUCAAGGUGGGUGGCACGCGUUGGGAUGUUCAAACAGCUCCGUGUCGUCUCGGUGGAGUGAGCACACACCGUCUGGGCCCUCGGAGUCAUUUUACUUUUCUGAACACUGCGUGCACCGUUCUAGAGCCUGGUUUUGCUGCACAAAGAGGAGCCCUGGCUAGAUGAGCAACCACCCAGAAUGCAGAGGGAAGCUUUCACUCGUCUGGAGUGCGGGAGAAUGAGCCACGGCCUGUGAGGCGCAUGGAGAUACUUGUCUGAAGGAGUUGACUCUUAGAAACCACAGCACAGAGGCCUGAAGCAGGGAGACACACAGCUGCUGUGGCUGUUCCCCUGCGGGCACCUCCGUCUCUGGAGUCACCAAGACCAGCACAGAGUCUUGGAAGUUGGAGUGCUACCUCCCUGCUCCUCUGAAGAGAGGCCUAGGACACCUGUUGCUGAGGGGCCAGAGUGGCCGGGCCCCUGCUGGGCCGGUGUAGAAGGAGUGAGGUGGUCAGUGGUGUUUCCUCUCUGGAGCCUUCAGGCUAGAUUGGGAGUUCUGUGCGGCUUCAGCCACAGCUCUCUGCUCAAGCCGAGAUGCGCUUCAACUGCUAGGCCUAAGGCACACGUGGCCGCUGGAGCUCAGCUCAGCAACUGAGACUGAAGGACCCUCCAGAGCCCCCAGAAGACCCCCGCCCGGGGAGUGACAUCAGUUGGGGAGCUAUUAAUAACUGCCCUCCCUCCCUGUCAUAUUUCCUGAACUGUGUGGGGAAGGCGAUUGUGAGGCGCUCUGCUGGAAUUUGGCAGCGCGGAGGCUUGGAGAGCAGCCCCAUGCUGGCUCCUAUUCAGCCGGCCAGUUUUCCUCGAGCUUUGGAAGUUUCGCUCAGCCGUGCACUCAAAGGCUUCACAAAGCUGAUUACAAGCUUCAGCGCAUUCCUGAAGGAGCCAAAAGCGACGCAGGUGCAAACGAGCCGAGGGAGCCCCUUAUCCCGGUGACAGAAUGGGACAAGCUGGGAAAGGCUUGGACCACACAAAUCCAAGGCUCACCAGGCAGCAGAGAGCCUGCCUUGGGAACCGGGGGUCAUUAUCCGCCCUAUUCAGCGGGGCCGGGGACCCCGGGGCCGGGUAGGCCGGUCGGGCGGCAAGCACCACCGCCAGUGUGCGCCUACGGCAGUGGGGACCCCGCUGGGCGCUGCAGCCCAUCGGGAUGUUGGGCGCUGUGUUUGUUCUCACCGACAGCGGUCCGUGAAAUCUAUCUUGUUCCUGAAAGCUGGUGUCCACGAUAAGGGGGUACAGGAGAACCAGGGUGGCGAAGAUGCGCUGUUGAGAGCGCACUGGCCUGUGCCUGCCGCAGGCCGCUCUCAGCUCCCCCUCCCCCCCGCGCGCCCCAAGUCUUGUAACCCCCAUCCCCUCGCCCUCAGCUCUUCGUUUUUCCUCUCUGCAAAUCCUACGGAGAGCGGGCUGCACAAAGUGCGGUGGGGAGGGACAGUGGCCCGGAAGGGGUGGAUCACCAGGUGGUCCGGUGCACCUAGCCGGGCAGUGGAGAACGCGGAGCCACGUCUAGGGGCAAUUAAAUCACAUCCCUGCUAGCAACGAAAGAACUACCGACCGCGUUGACAGGCUGGCUCGGCGCGUAGAGCUUGCAGAAGGGACGAGCGUGGGACGGACUGAAGUGGGACCGCUGGAGUUCAGGGGCGGGCUAAUCCGACCCUGUGGGCAGCCCCUUCCCACCGCAUCCAGUCUCCAUCGCAGUCACUUAUCUGGAAACCUGCGGCUGGAUUAAUCGCUAUAUUCCCAAGAUGAGCGGUGCGGCAAUCCGCAGUGUAAAACGGGUGGGAACUCGAAAGCAUCAUCCCCCAGGCUCUCCCGGGGCCAGCAGUCGGCCAGCUCCCUGCAGAUCUGAACGCGGCACCGUUGCUAGCACCUGUUUGGACUCGGGUGGGGAUGAGCAGGCACAGAGCCGCACAGAGGAUGUGGGGGAGGAGAAGGAGACAGACCUGUGGGGACCCCGGCCUGCGAGAGGCACAAAACUGCCUGUGGGAAUAAAGCCUUUUGACCUGACAGAAAUGAUGCUGUAGACGCUUCAGACCGUGGCCUAUUUAGAUGCAGAAAAAUGCUCCCUCCCAUCUUGAUCUUCCAACCUCACCCCUACUCCACCCGCCGCUCCGCCUUAGGCCCCUCCCCUGGAAUUUCCUCUUUCAGAGUCCUGCUUCUCUAAGCAAAGCACUGGCAAUAUUUAGGAACUGUGGGCGUGGAAAUAAAUGCUUGUUUUCCAGCCCCUCAUCCUACCUACUGGAGUUGAAGGUGGUGGGCUGUGGUAUCAAAGCUCCAGAGAGGAAGCAUGUGCCUACAAAAACUUUCUCAGCUGAGGUCAAAACAUCAGCUCCGCGGGAAAAAUCAUUUUGGUGCCCGAGGUGCUGCCCCGGGGGGACUUCUCUGGAGGUGUCAAAACUCAUUGCCGGUUUGUGAAAACCAGCACUGCUUCUGGUCUGGCUGGUUAGUCACUUGGAGGUAAACCCUCUGCUGUGGAGUAUUUUUACAUCUCGGCUUUGCCGCCCCGCCCCCACCCCCACCUUUUUUUUCAAGAUGUCAUUUCAGGAGAAGAGGAAAUUCCAUUUCACACUGUGACAGCCUUGGCCUCCCAUUUCGGCGGCAUAGUAAGUUCCACAUGGAACAUACGUUCCAAGAGUGAACACCCAUUGGUCCGUCACGUUUUUAGAUUGUUAGAGACGAAGGGGUACCCCGGGAUGCUCCCCCAACUGGGCCCUGCAAGAUCCUCUUAAAAGUCAGUGUUCCCCUCCACCAACAGUGGGAGGAAAUCUUCAGAAGCCACCAUGUGACUCCCUGCAAACCAGCUCAAGCCGAGGUUCCCAGGACAGCUCCUCCUCAUGCCCUUUGGACGUCAACCCACUGUGGCUCUCACCUGAGUCCUGUCACCUCUGCCAUCUCGAAGUGAUCUGUGGACAAUGCUGAGCAGGACAGCCCCUGGUCAACCAGGCAGAACCGUCUAUGCAAAUGUUGGAGGCCUGCCCUGGGAACAGUGCGCCCAUUGUCCAGGGCCUUUCAGAGCCGGCAGCAGCUGCUCAGACUCGCCGCCCCAGACCCGUGGCUGCCACAGUCAUGUCAUCCUUGCAAGACAUCAGACUCUGAAAAUUAUACGACCCGAAUUCAUGAACAGCCUUCUCUUGAGUGUUUCUGUCUGUGACAAGUUGCAAAGUCCAAAGCUGCUUCUGUUGCUGGGGACAGGAGGAGGGUGUGGGCAGGAGCAAGUCUGCGCUUGCUUCUUACUAGAGGACUUGAAAACUUUGCAAACUGUCCCUGGGCUUCUGAAGGGGGGACGGAGCGGGGGGGGGGGUGUCUGGCUCCAACAACUGAGAAUGUGAGGCUUUUCUGUUUUCUCUUGCUGCUAUUGCAAGUUUAGAUGCGUGGAGAGGAGUCAGGAUGAGGAGAUGGAGCAGGCCUGCCUGCCUGCCACAGGUGCUGACCUCUUUUUUAUUAGCUUGGACUCCAAGCUGUACUUUCUAGAGAAGCAAGCAGGCUGACUGACUGGCUCAACACUCUCAAACCACCUCAACUCUGAGUCCCUUCAGAGGGGGACUCGGGGGCUCAUGUAGUUCACAUCCAUCCAUCCUCUCUCCCUGCCCCCGACCCCCAAACCAGGACAGGAAAGGAUGCUCUUGGGCCAGAGGUUGGUGGUUCCUGGGGUGGUAGGUGAGCAUGGGGACCCAGUAGUGGGUGGCCUACAGUUGCCUUCUGCCAGAACCUGGGAGUACAUCCCUCUAGUCUCCAGGCCCCCAGCCUAAUGGGGAGGACUUUCAGGGAUACUGAGGAGGCCCAAAGGUCCAGGUAAGGCGGCUUCCACCUCGCCUUCAAUGACUGGUCCCAGGGACCUCUAGUGUGUUGCAUUUUCAAUUUUUCUUCCUUCCUUCCUUCCUUCCUUCCUUCCUUCCUUCCUUCCUUCCUUCCUUCCUUCCUUCCUUCUUUCCGUUCUUUCUUUUGUUUUUGUUUGUUUGUUUGUUUUGUUUUGAGACCAGGUCUCACUCUGUAAUUCAAGCUGGCCUAGAACGCAGUACAAUCCACCUGUCUCAGCCUACUGAAUGUUAGUGUCACCUGCCUAAGGCAUCCUGCUCUGUUGACAUGUCCCCUGACUCCUCACAGGACUCUGCUGCUGUUCUCUCUCUGCCUUCUGCCCGGGUGGAGCAAGUUCCCAGGAAACACCAGAAACCCACCAGACCGAUUGAUUCUAGAGGGAUCAGCCCCAAGACAGGAAGGUUGCAGAGCAUGUCCUCCAGCACUGAGUACGGCCUCCCCUGUGUACCCAACCCUACCAAGGAGCCUUCCCAAUUCUUGAUAGCCUGAAUGGGGAGGGCUUGGAUACAUGUAAAGUUUGACAAAGUAUUGUUUUAUAAACAUAAGAGAAAUGGUGGAAAAAUAAGCGGAGAAGAGAUCCUGUAGACCAUUGAUUUGUAGGCUUAUUGAUUUGGGUUGGAGUCUCUGGGCAUCUCAGGCUGCCCAAAACCAGGGGGACUAGGGCAUCCAUGGACACCACUGCCACGGGGAGGCCAGCGUGAUAGAAAAUGCAUGGACAAGGCGGGCUCUCAGCGUGUAGCAGGACCUGGCUCCCUGUAGAUGCUCAGGAUGUCUACUGAAGGGCUGCAGGGGUCCUGGGAAGGAGGGUUGGUAGGGCUGGUAGCCAGAGACAAGUCUCUGCCAAAGGACCCUCCCCAUUUCUGGGGAGCUGCCCUGGGCUUUCCCAGGCUUCUCUCCCCUUUCCACACACACGUGGGCUCUUUUCCUCACCUGCCCACGCACACUAGUACACACAGGUGCCAGACAUCCACCCUUAGAUUCACAAGUGCCUGACUCCGCUCAAGCACAGGGCAUUCUCCAGCUCCACAGCUGUGGUCCAGGUGAACCCUGGAUGGUUCAUCGGGACUCAGUACCUGACCUCCAGGCUGCAGAACUUGAAGAACCCUGGGCUAGGCACACAGGGCAGAGUGAGUGAGUCUAAGGGUCUUUCCUUCUGUCCUUUCAGGAUCUGAUUUUGUCCUAGAACUUGACUGGCCUGUCAGAUUGUUUCCUGUCCUUCCUAAUUUGCCCUCUCCAUCUGUAUUUUUUCCGGGUUUGCCCUCAGAAUGCCACACAGACUCCAUGUUAUUCACAAGGGCAGCUGGCCACCCCGCAUAAAGUCCCUAAGCACUCAAAAUUCAGAAUAUCACACACCCUGGAUUUAAAGAUUUGGAAUGAGAAAGAGCUCACUGACUGUGUGUGAUGUUGGCUACAGAAAUGGCUGUGCGUGAGAUAUGUUGAAUUAAAUAAAAGGCAUUAUUAAAGUGAGCGUCACUGGCCACUGCACUUGGAAGUCAAUGUGGCUUUGCUAACUCCCCUUCACUGGCUCUGUAUCCUUUGCUGCUUCCUUUGGUCUUCCCAGGAUCCUCUAGGAAAUGGAAAAGGAAGAAGUGGGGAAAAGGCCUGGGCCUGAAACCCAGCAGGGGGCAGCUGGAGUCCCUCCCAGUUCUUUUCAAAGUUAUUCUUACAACAAUCAAAGCUUCCUUGUUUUCAGGACCAGGCAAAAGAGCCUCAUAUUCAUUGCUUAAAUCAUAUUCUUUCUAUUUUAGCUUUAAUUCAGUUUAGUUACGUUGUGAUCUCCGCCAGCAAUCCAUGAACCCUGCAGCAACUUUUGAAGAAUCUUGCUGCUAAUGCUGCAUGGUGGAGGAAUAUUGAUUGUCGGAGUCACUCUGUGGGUUCUAUGGCGUUAUAAGGAACCCCUCUGCUAUUUCCAAACUUCUAGUCAGCAGUUGAUACUUCUGGCUUUAAUUUUUUCCUGCAAAUGUAUCACCAGGUCUAACUCAAAUAAAACAAGAAUUCUGAACAGCAA